rnacentral:tRNA from 1 species
GGAGCCGAGUAGAGGCAUAGCAGGCUGCGCCCGGAGAAGCCCUGGAGAAGCGUCGGAGGACCCGGGUUCGAUUCCCGGCAGCUCCA